rnacentral:rRNA from 1 species
UACGUAGGGGGCAAGCGUUGUCCGGAAUUACUGGGCGUAAAGAGCUCGUAGGUGGUUUGUCGCGUUGUUCGUGAAACUCACAGCUUAACUGUGGGCGUGCGGGCGAUACGGGCAGACUUGAGUACUGCAGGGGAGACUGGAAUUCCUGGUGUAGCGGUGGAAUGCGCAGAUAUCAGGAGGAACACCGGUGGCGAAGGCGGGUCUCUGGGCAGUAACUGACGCUGAGGAGCGAAAGCGUGGGGAGCGAACAGG